rnacentral:rRNA from 1 species
AGCAGUAGCCGCGGGAAUACGUAGGUGGCAAGCGUUAUCCGGAAUUAUUGGGCGUAAAGCGCGCGUAGGCGGUUUUUUAAGUCUGAUGUGAAAGCCCACGGCUCAACCGUGGAGGGUCAUUGGAAACUGGAAAACUUGAGUGCAGAAGAGGAAAGUGGAAUUCCAUGUGUAGCGGUGAAAUGCGCAGAGAUAUGGAGGAACACCAGUGGCGAAGGCGACUUUCUGGUCUGUAACUGACGCUGAUGUGCGAAAGCGUGGGGAUCAAACAGGAUUAGAUACCCGAGUAGUCCCUGUCUCUUAUAA